GCCUUUUGUAAGGAGGAGCAGCUCGAGUGCGGUGCGGUCAGUAGCCCUUCAAAUUAGAAAAGUGAGGAUGAUCUUGUCAAUGCUGAGAUUUUCAUGCAUCAACAGCCACUACAUCUGGAUCAGAUUGAACAAGAAACAGACAGCAAGGGUUGUCAGAUCAGAAACAGAAUGACACACAAACACAAGAAACUUCACAGGCAGAUCAACAUGCAAUUUGAAGACGUGUGAUAAAAUACAGAGAGGUGAAGUAGUGUGUCUUUCCAGAUCCCCAAAUCAUUCCCCCUUAAAAGAUGAGCUGAAGAGGAGAUUUGGGAAGAUGCUGUUUCAUAAGUCGCUUUGCCAGAUCACCUGUGAUGCUGUCAUCGUAUUAAGUACAGCAUGAGCCAGAAUAGAUGUGUGGUGGUGGCCAUAAGAAGACUGUCAACUAAACCAACAACAAAAUUCAUAUUUGCAGUUUUUCUUGAAUAAAGUUUUUCUAUUCAGAUUAAUAAAAUGACUUUUAAACAUGAUUUUGUUUCAUAUUUUAUGAUUUUAUUCUAUAUUUAGAAAAUUCCACUUCUGCACUACUAACUGGAAACCUAACUGUUUGAAAGAAUGUGUUUUUAUCCAUAAAAAAAUAUUUUUAACAGCUGCUUUCAUGUUUAUUUGGAAAGGGUAGGCACCUGCCAUCUUAUUUGUCCACAUUUAAACUUUACCUUCCUUAAGUGUUUAGUUUUAUGAAUGGGGUUGUACUGUAAGUUAUGCGUAGCAAGUUGCAUUCAUAUGAUAAUUGCAUUAAAAAUGACACGUUUACAGUAAAUCAUUUAGUGAGUAUUGCAGUGUAAAGUAAAAAUCUAUAUUUAGUGUUAAAAACAACAAGGAAAUAGAAGGUUGAAAUUGCGUCAUGAUAUCAACCAUAAUUCACCUAUGUUGAAAGUGUGACGUUGAAACAACGUCGUGAUUUCAACGUUGAAAUUUUUUGCAAAACCGAAAGGUA